GAUGACUUGUGGCUGGGGGUGAAAGGCCAAUCAAACCGGGAGAUAGCUGGUUCUCCCCGAAAGCUAUUUAGGUAGCGCCUCGUGAAUUCAUCUCCGGGGGUAGAGCACUGUUUCGGCAAGGGGGUCAUCCCGACUUACCAACCCGAUGCAAACUGCGAAUACCGGAGAAUGUUAUCACGGGAGACACACGGCGGGUGCUAACGUCCGUCGUGAAGAGGGAAACAACCCAGACCGCCAGCUAAGGUCCCAAAGUCAUGGUUAAGUGGGAAACGAUGUGGGAAGGCCCAGACAGCCAGGAUGUUGGCUUAGAAGCAGCCAUCAUUUAAAGAAAGCGUAAUAGCUCACUGGUCGAGUCGGCCUGCGCGGAAGAUGUAACGGGGCUAAACCAUG
rnacentral:rRNA from 1 species